rfam:Rattus norvegicus chromosome 3, whole genome shotgun sequence.
CUAGCCAUUGACGCCGCCUCACCUCUGCUGCCAGUAGCCUCGCCGUCGGGGAGCCCUAGCGCAGCGUCCGCCCUCAGCAUGAUGGACUUGGAAUUGCCACCGCCAGGACUACAGUCCCAGCAG